rnacentral:rRNA from 1 species
CCUACGGGUGGCAGCAGUGAGGAAUAUUGGUCAAUGGGCGGGAGCCUGAACCAGCCAAGCCGCGUGAGGGAAGAAGGUGCAAGGAAUCGUAAACCUCUUUUGUCGGGGAACAAAGGGCGCCACGCGUGGCGUUGUGAGUGUACCCGAAGAAAAAGCAUCGGCUAACUCCGUGCCAGCAGCCGCGGUAAUACGGAGGAUGCGAGCGUUAUCCGGAUUUAUUGGGUUUAAAGGGUGCGCAGGCGGUCUGGAAAGUCAGCGGUAAAAGCCCGGGGCUCAACCCCGGCGAGCCGUUGAAACUGGCAGACUAGAGAUGGCGAGAAGUACGCGGAAUGCGCGGUGUAGCGGUGAAAUGCAUAGAUAUCGCGCAGAACUCCGAUUGCGAAGGCAGCAUACCGGCGCCGGACUGACGCUGAGGCACGAAAGCGUGGGUAUCGAACAGGAUUAGAUACCCUUGUAGUC